rnacentral:lncRNA from 1 species
CGCACACGGAGGGCAUUUCUCAUAUCCUCUCUCUUUCCUCCAGUCCCCAACCUACAGAAAAUUGGGUGUGUGCGUGUUCAUGUGCGUGACGGAUUCUUCCCCUGCUUGCAAAGCCUAAGCCUAAGCUUCCAGACCUCGCUGCUUCUAAAGCCCAGGGAGGCCUGGAAGGAGACCUACCCGCUCUCAGCGAACCGGCCGCACGGAGGCGGGGAGCGGGGCGGGGCCGAGCGCCGGGACCGCCCAGGCGCGGGGCACAGCCAACCAACGCACGGGGAGGGCCGGCCGGCGCGGGCUGAGCGGCGCGGGCUGUCACAGGCGCCCGACGCGCGCUGCAGGUGGCAAGUUGGAGGUGCCGCCGCCACCGCUGCAGGAGCAGCCCGGGUCUGGCGGCCCCUUCCAGCCUCCGACAGCCCUUUCCCGCCGCCGAGCCCGACACUGGACCCGGGGGAAUCCGGAGGAAGAAGCCUCUGCGCAGGGACCUGUAAGCAGCCCUACCUCUCUUUUGCCCUUGCGCUACUUUUUUUCUUCGAGGAAGGUUGUGCCUGGGGGCUGCGAACAGGCUCCAGGAGAGGCUGGAGAGGAAGGCUUCGGGUGACUCAGGUGAGCGCCUCUUCUUUCCGGUGCCCUAUCCCUGUUCGCAGCCGGGCGCUGGCCGGGACAUCGGCUCGCCCAGUGGGCAGGGGACGGGGCGCGGGCGCCUGCCCUUGGCUCGAGGUCGAUGAGGGAGAGAGCGAGGAAGGGGCGAGGCUGGUCCGGCCGGGGGCUGUCUGCCCGGGCCCGCCCAGAAUCGGCAGGGACUCUCGGGCGAGCACCCCAAGGCGGGUGGACAGGCAGAGAGAUGCUCUGAGAUGGCCAGAGGGCUUGCACCCUGGUUCAAGCUGGCGGGGAUCGCCCCCGUGCGCGCCGUUCGGGAGCCGCAGCGGAGCCGGGCGCGGCGCCUUUGCGAAGCCCUGGAGAGAGCGCGUUGGGCCGGGCGAGCGCAGGAAUCUUCAAUCCCCGCGAGCCAGAGGCGCUGGAGGACGUCAUCCCUCUCGGCCCCGGCAACUCCUCCUCCGCCCCUUUCGCCUCCACCCCUCCGCGCCGGCGGUUCAGCCUAUUCGGAGAUUCCGUGCCUUUGCCAACGCGCGAAGUGGCUGCUGCUGUCACUACCCUCCCUGCCCUCGCUGGAAUUGGAACGCCCCGGGGUCCGGCUCUCCGGCCUUGGCCGCCUAG